AUGGAGACCGUUAAGAUAGCCUUACUCAUCUUCCUUCUAACCUCGCUCCAGCUCCUCACAACAGAUGCUUCUUCUGUUGCCGCACAAAAAUCAGCAGAACAUUCAACAACAGGCAAACCAUCAGAAACUACGACACCCGUCACGACUGUUCCUCUUUCCACUGUAAAGAACCUUGGUGCAAAUGUUACUGCAGCCAGCGUUACUGCAGCCAGCGUUACUGCAGCCAGCGUUACUGCAGCCAGCGUUACUGCAGCCAGCGUUACUGCAGCCAGCGUUACUGCAGCCAGCAUUACUGCAGCCAGCAUUACUGCAACCAGUGUGACCCCAACCAAGAAUUCUACCUGGAAUUCUACUACAUCACCAGUAACAGAAAAAACAAAAAUGUCAUCCUCACCCCAAGUCCCAGUGAAUUCCGCAUCUCCAUAUACUAAGGACAAUGGAACACAAGGGACCCAGGCCCCAACAACUGUUACCAAGAGUGACUCACUAAACAAAACCACCAUUUCUCACCUUACCAAAAAGCUCUCAGGUUCAGAGGAUGAAAAUACAGGUCAAGAUAGAGUCAAGGACAAUAAGAAUACGGAUCAAGAUGUCGAUAAGAACCUGCUGUGGAUUCUUUUGCCAGUCCUGGCACUUGUGGGGGCUGCUGUCGUGGUCCUUCUGAAAAGUAAAUGCAUGAAGGACCACGAUCACACAGAGAUAACUGAUAAUGGAACAGAAAAUGCCUCUUUCCAGAGCAGGCCGGACAACGCCAAAGACGGUGUCAUGCUUCUCGGGGUGAAGUCUUCAGGCGGUGAAGACAAUGGUACGUUUAAACUGUUUACUUACUUAGCAUCGUCAAACGGUGAGGCGCUGUUAUACUGUAAACUUCCAGCAGCUCUGGUGAAUGCAUAACCAGGCCAUUGCAGUAAAGCUCGGCUCAGUAGUGUGAAAAUAUUAUAACAAGCAAUUAGUCUAUUCAGUUCCCACGACUCCUCCCCUUCAAGUGAAGUAAAGACCAGGAGGAACACUUCAAUAAAACUGUAAAAAGUUCAAGAGAAUCAUAGUCUUCUACUUAACUUUCCCAAGUUCUCGCACUCAUUUCCACCAUCCCUCUACAUUACAACUGUUUCAUCAGGCGUGGACCUGCAAUUAUUGCAGUGAAGCCUGGAGCUUUUAAUAUCUCAUUGUGCACAUUCAGUAAAUGAGCUUGGGCUGCAGAGAACAGGGGAAGGUGUUUCCUGUGAUUUCUCAUCCCCACCCUUGAAAGACCAGCAGAGGAUGAAAGAUGGGGACUUCCUCACACAAACACAGAUUAUUUUGGACGGGCCCUAUUGUGUGGCUCCCUGGGCCGGCAAAUGUCAAUGUGCCCUGGGCAGACCCUGUGUGUAGUUUGCACAUCAGGCAUAAAUAGGCCUACCUCCCCAAAUGGGAAUUUGGCUUAAAAUCCCUACCUUCCUCCCUUUUCACUCUAUCUGUUUGCUGGUAAACUCUGAUAUCUGGACAAUAAUACAACACUGAACUACUGUUCUGUUGAGCAACCACGAAGCAAACACACCAGGGCUGAGUUCAACAGGACGCAACGUUAUGGAACAUUCAGAUAGAAAUGUACUAUACGGAACAAGGAUGCCUCUGUCAUUUAAAAUAAGGAAUCACGCUGUCUCUAUUCCUGGCAUUUCUAUCUGCAACGUUCGACAAAGUUUGGCUACUGAUCGUGGCUCUGGAUAUUCCUAUUCUAAUGCGAGGGAUGUUGUAAUAUAACCACACCUGUCAAAUUAGAUCCUGGGUUAGGGUUUUAUAAUACAUUACCAGUUUGUUCAUUUUGAACUCUCCAUUUCAGCUGCUGCAAGAUAAAAGGGAUGCCAUCCCAUUCGAAAGGACCAAUGGAUGAGGACGAGCUCUUACAACCAAAAAAUGGUCCAGAUCCCUUCACCUUCAACGAUCUAAACCUUAUGGACUAUCUAAUACGGCGUCACAGAAUCACAAAAGUUACUAAAGUGGGAACAUUUGUAUAUGGUUUGUGAGUAUUGUAGGAUAUGGGGCUCUUAACUGAACACGUGUCUGUUAGAAGGUAUAGCAUGUUUUAUUAUGUACUUCAUUGUUUUGUGUAUUCCUAUUUUGAUGGUAAUUUAGUCAAGAAGGAAUUGUGAUUUUAAUUUAAUCAAGACCAACAUACAGACAUUUUAGUCAGGAAAACGAUGCUGGAUUCUGAAUUAACAUGAAUAAAUUAACCCAAAUUCUCAUUGUCUGAGUGUAAGAUGAUUGUCUCACCCCUGUAUUCAAGAUACUGGUUUUGAUUUGAUUAAAUCACCCAAACAUGCAUGAAAUCCAAAUGUACUGAACCUGAAUUCAACACACAAUUCCUCGAUUUAAACCAGUUAGUGACCAGUACACAUGGUUAACAAGUGUUUGUAUGCUUUAAAUCGGUUUAAAAUAAUGAUUUAGUUUUCAGUGUAAAUGCCAGGAUUGUAAAGAUGAGCUUUUUUACCAGUAUGUUUCCUGCUUUUGAACAAGUUAUUUUGUAUAUUAGCUGUUGCUUGUCAGAAAACUUUUGUCAAAUGUUUCCCA
rnacentral:lncRNA from 13 species